GAUGAACGCUGGCGGCGUGCCUAAUACAUGCAAGUCGAGCGAACGGACGAGAAGCUUGCUUCUCUGAUGUUAGCGGCGGACGGGUGAGUAACACGUGGAUAACCUACCUAUAAGACUGGGAUAACUUCGGGAAACCGGAGCUAAUACCGGAUAAUAUUUUGAACCGCAUGGUUCAAAAGUGAAAGACGGUCUUGCUGUCACUUAUAGAUGGAUCCGCGCUGCAUUAGCUAGUUGGUAAGGUAACGGCUUACCAAGGCAACGAUGCAUAGCCGACCUGAGAGGGUGAUCGGCCACACUGGAACUGAGACACGGUCCAGACUCCUACGGGAGGCAGCAGUAGGGAAUCUUCCGCAAUGGGCGAAAGCCUGACGGAGCAACGCCGCGUGAGUGAUGAAGGUCUUCGGAUCGUAAAACUCUGUUAUUAGGGAAGAACAUAUGUGUAAGUAACUGUGCACAUCUUGACGGUACCUAAUCAGAAAGCCACGGCUAACUACGUGUCAGCAGCCGCGGUAAUACGUAGGUGGCAAGCGUUAUCCGGAAUUAUUGGGCGUAAAGCGCGCGUAGGCGGUUUUUUAAGUCUGAUGUGAAAGUCCACGGCUCAACCGUGGAGGGUCAUUGGAAACUGGAAAACUUGAGUGCAGAAGAGGAAAGUGGAAUUCCAUGUGUAGCGGUGAAAUGCGCAGAGAUAUGGAGGAACACCAGUGGCGAAGGCGACUUUCUGGUCUGUAACUGACGCUGAUGUGCGAAAGCGUGGGGAUCAAACAGGAUUAGAUACCCUGGUAGUCCACGCCGUAAACGAUGAGUGCUAAGUGUUAGGGGGUUUCCGCCCCUUAGUGCUGCAGCUAACGCAUUAAGCACUCCGCCUGGGGAGUACGACCGCAAGGUUGAAACUCAAAGGAAUUGACGGGGACCCGCACAAGCGGUGGAGCAUGUGGUUUAAUUCGAAGCAACGCGAAGAACCUUACCAAAUCUUGACAUCCUUUGACAACUCUAGAGAUAGAGCCUUCCCCUUCGGGGGACAAAGUGACAGGUGGUGCAUGGUUGUCGUCAGCUCGUGUCGUGAGAUGUUGGGUUAAGUCCCGCAACGAGCGCAACCCUUAAGCUUAGUUGCCAUCAUUAAGUUGGGCACUCUAAGUUGACUGCCGGUGACAAACCGGAGGAAGGUGGGGAUGACGUCAAAUCAUCAUGCCCCUUAUGAUUUGGGCUACACACGUGCUACAAUGGACAAUACAAAGGGCAGCGAAACCGCGAGGUCAAGCAAAUCCCAUAAAGUUGUUCUCAGUUCGGAUUGUAGUCUGCAACUCGACUACAUGAAGCUGGAAUCGCUAGUAAUCGUAGAUCAGCAUGCUACGGUGAAUACGUUCCCGGGUCU
rnacentral:rRNA from 1 species